UACAGGGGGUGCAAACGUUGCUCGGAAUUACUGGGCGUAAAGCGUGCGCAGGCGGUUGUGCAAGACAGAUGUGAAAUCCCCGGGCUUAACCUGGGAAUUGCAUUUGUGACUGCACGGCUAGAGUGUGUCAGAGGGGGGUAGAAUUCCACGUGUAGCAGUGAAAUGCGUAGAUAUGUGGAGGAAUACCGAUGGCGAAGGCAGCCCCCUGGGAUAACACUGACGCUCAUGCACAGGAAAGCGUGGGGGAGCAAACAGG
rnacentral:rRNA from 1 species